rnacentral:rRNA from 1 species
AGGAAAAACUUCUACAUUGAGACAAGCAGAUGUGUUCUAUGUGAUUAAGAGCCCAAUGAACAUUUGAUACAUCUAUUUUUCAGCUGUGAUUUCAGUCAGAAUUUUUGGCUAGCCAUUGGUUUCCAAUGGAAUACAGAUUAUGAUCUCAUGGAGAUGCUCUUGGAUGGAAAGAGAUAAAACAAUGUCAAUUGCUUCAAAGAAUGUUUAAUUGCAGGUUGCUGGAGCUUGUGGAAACACAGAAACAACAUCAUCUUUGAUCACAAAGUAAAGAGCAUGGCCUUCUGUAUCUCUAGCUUCAAGGAGCACUUUGACAUGAUUAUCAAAAAGGCAAAAUGUAGUUUGAAAGAAGGGAUGCAGUCUUGGCUAGAUUAUUUGUAG